rnacentral:lncRNA from 7 species
AGGCUCAGAUGCCACCUUGAACAGCAGAACAGGCGCUAGCAGGUGGGAAGAAGGACCUGGUUUUCAUUCUCCGAUCCCAAGCUUAGGUUUACAUUCUUCUUGGAGCACGGAAAAACCAGGAUCUGGGGGUUGUUUGCACGCUCGUUCUGCAGACCGGGAAAGACGAUUUUCCAUUUCUGCUUUGCAGCGUCUGCUCAGCAGAAGAGAAGCUCGCAAAGACAAGCCAUGACUUCCUGCCUCAGCUCUUGGAAGAACACUCACUUCUUUCAGCAGGAAUGCUUUGGUGUUGGGUGUUCCAGUAGCGUUCCAUAUCACCUUUCACAUGCAGAACUCUGGGUGCUCUGCUCCUCCUUGUGUAAGACCUUGGCUCUGGGUCCUUGCUGUGUUGAAACUGGCGGCGUUGAAGGGCCCUUUGGGCUGGGAGGAUCAGGCCCAUGGGAGAGCAAAGGGAAACACCCAGAGUUGGGACUGUUGUUGUGCAAGUCCUUGGAGGGAUGCCUGAUGGCUGUGUUACUCACCUUGGGUUGCUGGGACACCAGCAGGAGAUACUGAUGUCUCAAAGGUGAGCUGAGGGCUCACCCAGAGCCUCUCUGGGGUGGUGGGCACCCCACUGCAGUGAUAGUGCUUACCAUGGUCGUGCCUGUGGCACGAUCUAACUCCAUGUCCCCACCCUGUAGGACAUCUUCUGUGUCCCGCUGGCCCCAGGGACACUCCAUGGUUUAUGGCCGCGUGACCAAGGGGCGUCCUUGAGCCUUCCUCCUGAGGGUUGUAUUCUUUAAGAUGAGAAAAUGCUCUCUGUGCCCUUCCCCCAGCUCAAAGCAUCCUGUACAAAAAUAAAGCGCCCAAAAUAGCC